rnacentral:lncRNA from 10 species
AGGAGAUCGAGACCAUCCUGGCUAACACGGUGAAAUCCGUCUCUACUAAAAAUACAAAAAAGUAGCCGGGUGUGGUGGUGGGCGCCUGUGGUCCCAGCUACUUGGGAGGCUGAGGCAGAAGAAUCAUUUGAACCCGGGAGGCGGAGGUUGCAGUGAACCUGCUGAGAUCACGCCACUGCACUCCAGCCUGGGCAACAGAGCAAGACUCCGUCUCAAAAAAAAAAAAAAGGUAGUUUAUUCAUUUAUUAUGCUAUUGCGUAAAUUCACAGUGAAUCUCUUGUGAACUCAAAAUAACUUUGAAAAUAGGAACAUACAGGAAAUGUUAGCAUAUGAAGCAAAGUAAGUUUGUUGGUAUGAAUGGUGGAGUUUCUUGAGAGCAUCCACCCCUCCUACUGUGAAACAAGGCUCCACGGAGAGCUGGUAGAGCCAACUUAUUUCAUUCUUUGCCUCUACCUUACCCAUACAUGCACAGCAGCCUGGAAGCUUGCCAAUCAGACAUGGACCCUGUGGAUAAGUUUAUUUUGAAUCUGGUUUCACCAGUGAGAUUGAUCAUAGUUCUCAACCACGUGGAGUCUCUCAGAAAGCAUACCUGAAAUAAUCAUCCUCGAAAAUUGUGGUAUAAGUAGAGAAUACAUCCCAAAACAAUAAAAAGCAACUUUGGCUGUAAAACAGUUCAGACAGAACUUUCUGCCCUCUGGGAACUCAAAUUGUAGUUUAAAUAGUAGUUUGUACCUGUAGAAGUCAACUAAUUGUUAUAAGACUAUAACAGGAGGACAAUAUAGCCAAACCAGGAAACUUAGGAGUAUAGAAUAACAAUUACCCAAGACUGUCCUGUAUGGAAUUUGUAUUUAUAAGGAAAUAACUUAGGAGUUGUUGUGGGGAUACGGGUUAUAAUUAGUCCUAUUCCCAUCCUCUGCUAAAUUGAUUUGUGAACAAAGUGACAAAAUUUUAAUUUACUUGCAAGCUUUACCACACUGAUAGGAUGAGUAAUGAUUCCCCAAAAGACAGCCACAUCCUUAUCCCUGCAACCUGUGAAUGUUACUUUAGUUGGCAAAAAAUGGGCUUUGCAGAUGUAGUGAAGGGUCUUGAGAAGGGGAGAUUAUCCUAGAUGAUCUGGUGACCUUAAAAUGCAGUCACAAAUGUCUAUGUAAGAGGAAGGUUUUAGACAGAAGAGGAGAUGGCAGUGUUGCCACAGAGGCAGAGACUGGAGGUGAUGUGGCCACAAGCCAAAGAAUGUUGGCAACUACCAGAAACUGGAA